rnacentral:sRNA from 1 species
UAUUUUAAACCUGUCAUACCAUCUAAUCCUGUUCGGUGAAAUUAAACAUUAUUUUUU